rnacentral:rRNA from 1 species
UACGUAGGGGGCUAGCGUUGUCCGGAAUCAUUGGGCGUAAAGAGCGCGUAGGCGGCCAGAUAAGUCCGGUGUGAAAGUCAAAGGCUCAACCUUUGAAUGCCGCUGGAAACUGUCUGGCUAGAGUCCGGGAGGGGCGAGUGGAAUUCCUGGUGUAGCGGUGAAAUGCGCAGAUAUCAGGAGGAACACCAAUGGCGAAGGCAGCUCGCUGGAACGGUACUGACGCUGAUGCACGAAAGCGUGGGGAGCAAACAGG